AGAAAGGAGCGCUUUCCCUUUUGAAGUUUCAAACUCAUUUUUCUUUCGCUUUCUCUUCUUCUCACACACAUCACUGUUUGUUUCCCGAGAAAAAUUUCCGAGAAAAAGAAAUUGGAACCGCCACAAGCGUGUGUGUGCAUAUUCGUGCAAGAACUCAAAAUCCACUGCGAAUUUCGAAGUGGAUGAGUGUGGUUUGAAGAUCGAUCGAUGCCGCGAUCCCGUUCGAAUGUUCACCAUCAGCGUCAGAGCUCCGAUAACUUCAUCCUCGACGCUAAUUAUCAUGGAAGAUGGUUUCAACCUUCCGCUUUCGCGCAGGAAUUUGGUGCUCGAUCUUCGAGCUUGAGGAAGUACGAUGACGAUCGUGUGUUUGCUAGUGGCUUGCUUGAUUUGCAUUCCUUCGACACUGAGCUUUUACCUGAGGGGGGAGGUUUUGAUGAAUUUGAGCCGAGCAACAAACUCGGACAAAGGUCUCGGGGCUUGCCUGAAAGCCAUGUCCUUAGAAGUUUCUCGGCGGAUAAAGAGAGAGCAAACAAUGUUGCUAAGAUCAAAGUUGUGGUUCGGAAGAGACCAUUAAAUAAGAAGGAAAUAGCAAAGAAAGAGGAAGAUAUUAUUACAAUAGAUUCAAACGCGCUCACAGUUCAUGAAAGAAAACUCAAGGUUGACUUAACGGAGUAUGUCGAGAAGCAUGAGUUUAUUUAUGAUGCUGUGCUGAAUGAAGGUGUUUCAAAUGACGAAGUGUAUGCUGAGACUGUGGAGCCUGUAGUUCCACUGAUUUUCCAACGAACAAAAGCAACUUGCUUUGCAUAUGGCCAAACUGGCAGCGGGAAGACAUUUACUAUGCAACCAUUGCCUCUCAAAGCAUCACAAGAUAUUUUAAGAUUAAUGCACCACACAUACCGGAAUCAAGGUUUCCAAUUGUUUGUUAGUUUCUUCGAAAUAUAUGGGGGGAAACUGUUUGAUCUCCUCAAUGAUCGAAAAAAACUAUGCAUGAGAGAGGAUGGGAAACAGCAGGUUUGUAUAGUUGGCUUGCAAGAAUACUUAGUAUCUAAAGUUGAGACAAUCAAGGAUUUUAUUGAAAUAGGAAAUGCUGCAAGAAGUACUGGUACAACUGGUGCAAAUGAGGAAUCCUCUCGAUCACAUGCAAUACUUCAGCUGUGUAUCAAGAGGUCAGCUGAUGGGACUGAAUCAAAGCCUGCUCGAGUUGUGGGUAAACUAUCUUUUAUAGAUCUGGCUGGAAGUGAACGUGGUGCAGACACUACAGAUAAUGAUAAGCAGACCAGGAUUGAAGGUGCUGAAAUUAAUAAAAGCUUACUUGCGUUGAAAGAAUGCAUUAGAGCGCUAGACAAUGACCAAGGGCACAUCCCUUUCAGAGGAAGUAAAUUAACAGAAGUUUUGCGAGACUCUUUUGUUGGUGAUUCACGCACUGUAAUGAUAUCAUGCAUUUCACCAAGCUCUGGUUCAUGUGAGCAUACUCUCAACACUUUAAGAUAUGCUGACAGAGUGAAGAGCCUUUCAAAAGGAAACAGCUCUAAAAGGGAUCCCCUUUCUUCUUCAAAUCUUAGGGAGUCAACCACAUUGCCUGGAUCUUCACUUUUAUCUCGUGAUGAUACGUUUGAUGAUGAACUAACACAUGUUUCCAGUGAGAGGAAUCAAUUUGGUUGGUCCAAACGGCUUGAAACCGAACCCUCUCCUCCAAUUAAUAUGGAUCGUAUUCCAAGUGGUAGGAUGGGGGGGAAUUUGGCACCAUCUGGAUAUUCUGACCCACAAAAGGGUCAAAGAGGUACUCAAAAUGACACAGCUAAUAAUGAAAAUAGAACAGGACCAGCAUUUGAACAAGAUAGACCUAAAAGAUCAAGCAAAAGGGCGGAGAACAACCAAGCAUCUACUGUAGAGAACAAGAGGAAGAUAGAAUCUUGUGUUAAGCAUGUUGAUCCAUACCAAGUUGAGACUAAUCAUUCUGAUCCUGAUGAUGAUAUAAAUGCUCUGCUGAAGGAAGAGGAAGAUCUUGUAACUGCUCACCGGAGACAAGUGGAGGAAACAAUAAACACUGUUAGGGAGGAGAUGAAUUUACUCGUUGAAGCUGACCAACCAGGAAAUCAACUGGCCAAUUACAUUUCCAAAUUGAAUUCCAUUUUGUCACAAAAGGCUGCAAGAAUCUUUCAAUUGCAGACGCAGUUGGCUCAAUUUCAAAGACGUUUAAAUGAGUAUAAUGUUUUCAUAUCUUCUGGUAACUGAGAACGCUAAUGAGAAAAAUGAGUGAUGCGCUGCAGAUGUGGAGUUCUGUGUUCCAGAUAUUGCUGCCAAAAUUUCAUUGUCUGCGAGAGUUGUUGUUGAAGUUGAGAGACUUGUUGCUGUUGCAGCUGGGAAUGCUGCAGUUCUCUGAUGCUGUUGUAGUGGAUCCCGUUGUAUCCUCUCCCACGCUGCUCUAGUAGCGGUUGUCGCUCUUGUUGUAUCCUUUCCUGAUGCUGUGAUUGCAUCUGCUUCUGCUCUUGUAGUAGAGCAGCUGUUGCAUUAGUUGUUGUAUCCUCUCCUGCUGCUGUGAUUGCAUCUGCUGUAUGGUAAAAUUGAUCAAGUAUAAUAGAGGUGCAAGUUCAAAUUAAAUAGUAUAUUCGUUGUACACACUCCAAAGCUACACACCUAAACAAGCAUGAAAUGACUGUCACCAAAACAGUAACUCUUUGGAUAAUUCAAGGAAUCUAAUUGGCCACUUCAAGGAAUCUAAUUGGC